rnacentral:tRNA from 1 species
GGGGAUUUAGCUUAGCGGCAUAAGCACCUGCCUUCCAAGCAGGUCGUUGUGAGUUCGAUCCCUA